GGACUUAUCACAUUGAAAUACCGGUCUUCAUUCAAUCACCGAUGUUAAGCAACGUUGAGCCUAGUCGGUAGCUAGAUGGGUGACCGCUUGGGAAUACUACGUGUUGUAA